rnacentral:rRNA from 1 species
GACGAACGCUGGCGGCGUGCCUAAUACAUGCAAGUCGAACGCAGUGGGGACGGGUGAGUAACACGUGGGUAACCUCCCAUCAGAGGGGAUAACACUUGGCAACAGGUGCUAAACCGAUACGGGUGGAUGUACCCGCGGUGCAUUAGCUAGUUGGGGAGGUAACGGCGCACCAAGGCCACGAUGCAUAGCCGACCUGAGAGGGUGAUAGGCCACACUGGGACUGAGACAAGGCCCAGACUCCUACGGGAGGCAGAAGUAGGGAAUCUUGUGCAAUGGACGAAAGUCUGACCGAGCAACGCCGCGGGAGUGAAGAAGGUUUUCGGAUCGUAAAGCUCUUUUGUUAGAGAAGCGGUAUCUAACCAGAAAGCCACGGCUAACUACGUGCCAGCAGCCGCGGUAAUAC